rnacentral:rRNA from 1 species
AUUGAACGCUGGCGGCAGGCCUAACACAUGCAAGUCGAGCGGAUGAAGGGAGCUUGCUCCUGGAUUCAGCGGCGGACGGGUGAGUAAUGCCUAGGAAUCUGCCUGGUAGUGGGGGAUAACGUCCGGAAACGGGCGCUAAUACCGCAUACGUCCUGAGGGAGAAAGUGGGGGAUCUUCGGACCUCACGCUAUCAGAUGAGCCUAGGUCGGAUUAGCUAGUUGGUGGGGUAAAGGCCUACCAAGGCGACGAUCCGUAACUGGUCUGAGAGGAUGAUCAGUCAACCUGGAACUGGAAACCGGUCCAGCCCCCUACGGGAGGCCGGAGGGGGGAAUUUUGGAAAAUGGGCGAAAGCCUGAUCCAGCCAUGCCGGGGGUGUGAAGAAGGUCUUCGGAUUGUAAAGCACUUUAAGUUGGGAGGAAGGGAAGUAAGUUAAUACCUUGCUGUUUGGACUUUCCCAACAAAAUAAGCCCCGGCUAACUUCGG